CUACAUGGAAAUGCAAAGUGAUCCUUGCUUUUCUUAACCUCUCCAAGUGGCUGAAAGGGGAGCGGUAGGGGGAGGAUGUUUAUCAGCAUGAUUCAGAUGGAGUUGCAAUGAAUUCUUUUUCUGUCUUCAUAUGUCUGGACUCCUACGUUUUAAUAGAUGUGUGUUUAGUUUCUUGAUUAGUAUUUUCCAGUGGAGCUCAUAUUAGCACUCAACUGUCAUUUGAAAAGCCAUCUUAAUUAUUUAUGUGAUUGCUUUUUCUUUUGUAUUUACGAAGAAAUACACUUUGCAUAUAUUUAGGAAAGAUGAUUAAGGGAUCAGUCAUCAGGAACAGCAAGCAAUGGUUUAUAUCAAAAUGGUUAUUGAGAAAGCAGAGAGAUGAGGGGUAAGAGAAGAGAUUUAUUAGUCAGAGCUAAUGGAAUAUGCAUGUGUUAGGGAGAGAGCGCAUGCUCGGCUGAUUGUAGCCCCACAGUCUGCUGCUGGAGAGAGUGAAGUGUUGUAAUUAUUCCAGUUUUCAAUAGAGCCGACACCAGGUCUAUCUGUCUAGUGUGAGCGAAGGCGAAUGGAACGCUGACAGUAGGAUGUCAUUUUGCAGCCUCAUUGAUAAGCAUCAGAAAUAGUGAUUUCCCUGUUAUUUUCAGAUAAGGACUACUUGGUACCAGCCAUUGUAUUAGGCACCUGGGUUUGGCACUUGGCUGUGUUUUAAUAGACACCGACACCCCGUUUUCAUGACAUGAUGUUGAGGAGUGAUGGGCUCGGAUGCUGAGUAAUAAAGUAUAAGAGCCGCUGGAGAAAUCCAUCUACUUUUUGGCUCCCUCCGUCCACUCGGUGACUUUAUGAUCAUGAGUGGCUUUGGUGUUUGUGGCAAUUUCUCCCAUUCUCCUUUGAUGAUAAAAGCUUAAAUCCCGUAAUUUGCCGUAACCGAUCAAAGUCCUUAGGUGCAGUGCCUUUUGCUUUGUGAUAUGUGGGUGUUGGGGGGGAGGCAGGCAGCACAUGGGCUGGGUAAUUUGCAAGCCUGACGCCUGUCUAAGCUGGUGCCUUGACUUGGAAAAGACGAUUGUUAUUUAUUCACCACAUCCCAGAGUGUAAGGCCCAUCCCCGUUGUUUUGAAUGAUCUUUAGCUAAACAAAAAUAUAAAAACUAUUAAUAUUAUUAAUAGUUAGAGAUUGUUGGGAAAAGUUCAUCCUACGUCAGUUGCUGGAUUUGUUCCUCAUUUCUUUGCUUUAAAAAUUGUUUUUAUGGAUAGUAUUGGACUUGCAAUAAAUAAAGCAUGGUGUAUAAACAAGUCUGCGAACCAGCAAGAACUAUAUAAACCACUUGCUUUAAUCAACAAGCGAGCACAUCUCCCCCCCCACACACAUGCAUAAAGGAGUCUAGAGUUCUCCCUUGGGAGGUUUUUAUUCACAUGAUGGCCUGUGAUCACCAUCAGCUGCAGGUGUGGUUGGAAAGUCAUGGCUGUCUCUGUACUGGGCACUCUGCUUAGCGUUUAGCAGUAAAAUAUAUAUGUAUUUUUUUUUUUGGUCUUUCUAGGCCACCCACAGCAUAUGGAAAUUCCCAGGCUACGGUUCAAAAUGGAGCUGUACUUGCUGGCCUACACCACAGCCACACAGCAAUGCAGGAUCCGAGCCACAUCUGCGACCUAUACCACAGCUCACAGCAACGCUGGAUCCUUAACGCUUCUGAGCAAGGCCAGGGAUCGAACCCGCUUCCUCAUGGAUACCAGUUUGAUGCGUUUCCCCCCGCGCUACAGUGGGAACUCCCAGCAGUGAAAUAUUGAUGCUAAGUGUUAAACCCAUCUUGCAGCUGAGGCAUUGGAGGCUGGAAGGGGGAAGGGCUUUGCCUCGCCUCACGCAGCUGGGACCUAUGGGUAGACCCCAGAUUGAGGCCGUAGCUCCUGACCAUGAAACCAUCUUGUUACUCGGUCCAAAAUUAGGUGUGCGUGUUGUUUCAGAGGACUGGCCUGUCUUUUUCAAGGACUAAGCCAAGGCGUGUCAUCCCAGAGGCUGGAGUAUUUCUCUGUCCGUGACGUGAGGGGCCCUGUGGGUCCCUGGGAAGGGGCGUCCUGGGCAGUGUUGUACCCCAACAGAGCUGAGGAACCUCACCGCCCCAAGAGGUGUUGCUCCCAGGUCCCUUUUCAAGUGGAAUAUAGUGUAUUUACUGUUGCACUGAAGAUGCCUCUUUGACCUUUCUUGUCAUAGGCUCCGGAAUGAUUCUUUAUCAGAAAAUAAAUUAUUCAUCCUUCUUCUAGACAUCAUCGGCUGCUAAAAUAUUCUGAGUUUUCUCUGUCUCCAGAAUGCCUAAAACUUGUGAUGGGUGCUCCUCUAAGUUUUCCAUUUCAUUUCUUGUACAGAGAAUUUUGCAUCGCCUUAGUCUUGUGUGUUACUCAUUGUCUUUGAUCACCAUCUCCGUGUCUUACUUUUGUGUGUGUGUGUGUGUGUGUGUGUGUGUGUUUCACUCAGUCUUGAAUAUUUCAAAUUUUAAAUCCAUUAAAACCUUUGCCUAACAAGGGCCGUGAUUUACUGCAGAGUUUUGAAGAGUGAAAGUCUCGCGCAGACGGAGGGCUGCAAGACACGCCCAAUCAUGUGAAGCCCAGCACAGCUGCAUCCUUUCGUUACCAUGGGGCCCCCCGAGUUCUUGUUAAGCGAUUUUGACAUGGUUUGAAGAGAUGGAUUUCAUCUUUAGACGGUGUUCAGCCAGUGGCCGAAAGUCUGCUUCUGGCCUCUAUUUAGGAACCAUUAUUUAAGCAGAAAAAAGUACGCUUGAGACCGCUUUCCCUAUUUACUGUGGGGCGUUUACAGAGAGGCUUGGACAAAGCAGGUGUUAGAUUAAACUGAGAGGAAAAGCAGUCCUUGUACCCAUAAAACCUUCUGUGCGAGGACAAGUGGCUGUCUGUAAGCGAGGCAGCUGGUCUCUGAACGGGGCAGCACACACCAUGGUAGGUUAUGUUGAGCAUGUCUUUAAAAUAGAGUAAGUUUUGGAGUUCCCGUCGUGGUUCCGUGGAAGCAAAUCUGACUAGUAUCCAUGAGGGCAGGUUUGAUCCCUGGCCUCGCUCUGUGGGUUAAGGAUCCUGAGCUGUGGUGUAGGUCUCAGACUCGGGGCUCCGAUCUGGCCUUGCUGUGGUGUAGGCCAGUGGCUACAGCUCUGAUUCGACCCCUAGCCUGGGAACUUCCAUAUGCCAUGGGUGUGGCCCUAAAAAGACAAAAAA
ensembl:lncRNA